rnacentral:sRNA from 1 species
UUAGAUGAAGAACUAAAAUUCUCUGUUUGUACACAGGCCAGGUAUAGAGGGGGAGGGCCCAGUGCUUUCAAGCUUCCCCAUACAGCACCGCCUAUCUACCUAAACUCUGAUUUGAAAGGACCACUAACUGCUGGGGUGAGAGAAGACAUUCAUUAUUUCAUGCCCAUUCCAUGACCACA